rnacentral:rRNA from 1 species
UACGAAGGGGGCUAGCGUUGUUCGGAAUCACUGGGCGUAAAGAGCGUGUAGGCGGUCCGGUAAGUCCGCUGUGAAAGUCCAGGGCUCAACCCUGGAAUGCCGGUGGAUACUGCCGGGCUAGAGUCCGGAAGAGGCGAGUGGAAUUCCUGGUGUAGCGGUGAAAUGCGCAGAUAUCAGGAGGAACACCGAUGGCGAAGGCAGCUCGCUGGGACGGUACUGACGCUGAGACGCGAAAGCGUGGGGAGCAAACAGG